CAGCAGACACAUUCCAGCCAAUCAGCAGCAGACCCUCCCUCCCAGAUCCUUCCACCUCCUGGACAGCAUCCAUUUUACAUCCAUUUUACAUUCAUUGUGAAGCUGCAUUCUUAGUGAGCUGUCCAGGAGGUGGGAGGGUCUGGGAGGGAGGGUCUGCUGCUGAUUGGCUGGAAUGUGUCUGCCG